rnacentral:lncRNA from 1 species
CUCGGGGCCUCGGACGGGGCGGGGCGGCCUUCCGUGCCGCCGGACCUCACCCCUCCCGGCCCGGGUCGCCCCGUCCGCCGGGAGGGCGCUCGCAGCCCAGGCUUCGGGGAGAGCGCGGCGGUGAGACGCGGCUCCACGUGAGCCAAAGCUGCGGAAACACCGCGCUCUCCCCCGAGCUUCGCGGCGAGGCGUGUAACCCUACACCCGGGGCGCGGGGGCGGAGGGGGGAGGCUCGGCCUGCGGCUGGCGGCUGUCGGGGUGGAAGCCGAGGAAUGCCCUUUGUCUGGACAACUUUUCCGGAGGAGGCGCCCUCUCCCAGGGGCUGUCUCCUUGGAGGUCAAGAGUCACUGCUUUGGAGCUCAGAGUCUUAGAGAUUUCAGUUCCACGACUUCUGCUCCCCGCCUCCCCCAGAAGUUAAUGAUCUGUAAGGUAAGUUUCUGAAAGUUCUAGCAAAGGCUUAGUAUUUAAAGGAAACCUGCCCUCAGCCUGUUUAACAUGCAAAUAUUCACCUUCAGUAUACUCAUUAAAUUUGUUAUUUUGCAAUAAACAAGGG